CUCUUCGGAGUGUAAACCACUGUUGCCCGGGACGAACAGCUCGAUUUCUCAAGCCUGACGGUACCGGGUGAGGAAGCACCGGCUAACUCCGUGC
rnacentral:rRNA from 1 species